rnacentral:misc_RNA from 1 species
AAUUAGAGCUCACAAGGGUUUCAUCACAGGUGUAUCUAUCCAUCUAUAUAUAAUUAGUCCAGGAUUAAUUAUGCUGUGGCAAUUAAAGUGAAAUCUAAAAAGUAAAUAAAAAUCUUAUCUGCAGAUUCCCUGUACUUCAUUGCCUCCAAGUUACUAAAAUCAGCAUCUCAGGUUUGUCCACAAUUACUUGUCAGUUUCCUUGCCCAAAAGAUUCAUACGCACAUAUAGAGGAGAGAAGGUGGAGUUUCUUGAAGUUAGUUGAGCACUUAGUACAUGAAACACUGUCCCUUGCUGCAGGGUGCAUCAACCACAUGUUAUGUUGC